rnacentral:rRNA from 1 species
CCAUGUGAACGUUACCAAACUGUUGCCUCGGCGGGAUCUCUGCCCCGGGUGCGUCGCAGCCCCGGACCAAGGCGCCCGCCGGAGGACCAACCAAAACUCUUUUUGUAUACCCCCUCGCGGGUUUUUUAUAAUCUGAGCCUUCUCGGCGCCUCUCGUAGGCGUUUCGAAAAUGAAUCAAAACUUUCAACAACGGAUCUCUUGGUUCUGGCAUCGAUGAAGAACGCAGCGAAAUGCGAUAAGUAAUGUGAAUUGCAGAAUUCAGUGAAUCAUCGAAUCUUUGAACGCACAUUGCGCCCGCCAGUAUUCUGGCGGGCAUGCCUGUCCGAGCGUCAUUUCAACCCUCGAACCCCUCCGGGGGGUCGGCGUUGGGGAUCGGCCCUGCCUUGGCGGUGGCCGUCUCCGAAAUACAGUGGCGGUCUCGCCGCAGCCUCUCCUGCGCAGUAGUUUGCACACUCGCAUCGGGAGCGCGGCGCGUCCACAGCCGUUAAACACCCAACUUCUGAAAUGUGACCUCGAUCAGG